rnacentral:rRNA from 1 species
UACGUAGGAGGCGAGCGUUGUCCGGAUUUACUGGGCGUAAAGGGCGCGUAGGCGGCCCUCUUAGUCGCGUGUGAAAGCCCCGGGCUCAACCUGGGAACGGCGCGCGAAACGGGAGGGCUGGAGUUCGGGAGAGGAGAGUGGAAUUCCCAGUGUAGAGGUGAAAUUCGUAGAUAUUGGGAAGAACACCGGUGGCGAAGGCAGCUCUCUGGACCGAGACUGACGCUGAGGCGCGAAAGCGUGGGGAGCGAACAGG